rnacentral:rRNA from 1 species
ACCUGGUUGAUCCUGCCAGUAGUCAUAUGCUUGUCUCAAAGAUUAACCCAUGCAUGUCUAAGUAUAAGCAAUUAUACAGCGAAACUGCGAAUGGCUCAUUAUAUAAGUUAUCGUUUAUUUGGUAGCACCUUACUACUUGGAUAACCGUGGUAAUUCUAGAGCUAAUACAUGCUACAAACCCUGACUUCGGAACGGGUGUAUUUAUUAGAUUAAAAACCAAUGCCCUUCGGGGCUCCUUGGUGAUUCAUGAUAACUUGGCGAAUCGCACGGCCUUGCGCCGGCGAUGUUUCAUUCAAAUUUCUUCCCUAUCAACUUUCGAUGUUCGGGUAUUGGCCAAACAUGGUUGCAACGGGUAACGGAGGGUUAGGGCUCGACCCCGGAGAAGGAGCCUGAGAAACGGCUACUACAUCCAAGGAAGGCAGCAGGCGCGCAAAUUACCCAAUCCCGACACGGGGAGGUAGUGACAAUAAAAUACUGAUACAGGGCUCCUUU